rnacentral:tRNA from 1 species
UGGUGUAGCUCAGUUGGUAGAGCAAUUGAUUUGUAAUCAAUAGGUCGGGGGUUCAAGUCCCUUCACC